rnacentral:rRNA from 1 species
CACACGUGCUACAAUGGGCGGUACAAAGGGCUGCGAACCCGCGAGGGGGAGCGAAUCCCAAAAAGCCAGUCUCAGUUCGGAUUGCAGGCUGCAACUCGCCUGCAUGAAGCCGGAAUCGCUAGUAAUCGCGGAUCAGCAUGCCGCGGUGAAUACGUUCCCGGGCCUU